ensembl:lncRNA
AUAUUAUACUAAAUGCUGCAUAAAUGAUGUUUAAUGUGUUUUGUGUAGGGUAUGUUUCUCGGUGUGGGAGCGAUUCAGAAGACAGUUCAGAGGAUGACUACGCCAUGGAGGGACUGCUGGACACUCAGCUGUCAGAGGACACUAUGUCUACUCAUACAAAUGAUGGCACAGAGGAAGGAGAGGAAGCCGAGGGGAAAAGUGAAGCAGAGGCAGAAAAGGUUAGAGUGAUUGUAACGCAUCCCUUUUUAGAAGAUGAAGGAGAUGAGGCAAGCAAGAGAGAGUCUGUUGGAGAUGAGGAUUACGCCAUGAUAAUGGAUUCCCUUUUGGAGACCGGUUGGUACACAGACCCUCGAGUCAACAGCAGCUUCUCCAGUUUGUCUAGUAACUCGCUAAAUGCACUGGAGGAGAGUAUUAAGGCAGCCAUUGGUGGGCUUGGCCAUAUGGACAUGUCUCUGGAAGAGAAACCCAGUUCUGGUGCCUCAAGUCUGGAUGUCCACCAUCCUUACCUCCUGGAGGUGCCAGAGCGUUUUGAUGAGAGCGGCAGUUCAAACAAACUCAGACGACCUUCAGAACUGACCUUCGAUAAUCACUCAGGUCUGUGCUUCUCUGAGCUCUCUCAAAUGUCUGACAGCUUGCCAAGCCCACCUGCGGCCAGCGACGAUGCUUUGAGUGAGGAUGAUGAGGAUGAUGAAGGAGGAGACGGUGGAAAAGACGGUUGCAUUUCUACCAUGUCAGCAGAAUUUGAGGCUGUGUUAGCCUCUUGUACCCCUAACAGCAUAAAUGCUAAAUUAGCAGGAGUGAACUUUCAGGCAAUCUUCACCAGGAUUCACAACCAUCCAGCAUGUAGACAAGAGGGAAAAAGCUUCCCACAGAAAAAGAUAAAUGAAGCUAAACAACAGGGGCCAUAUUCAAAAUUAAUAGCACAAUCUGUGCUGAUGAGAGCUGUGCCCUCAAAUGUCCCUGAAAUAGCAAAGGACUCCAGAGACAGUUGUUCAGAAUCUGAGGAUGAAUUUUUUGAUGCCCAAGAUCGAUUUACCCCUCCCAUCACAGAGCAAGGCCUCGCAGAGAAAAGCUCAGAUUCUGAGAACAAACAUCCUUCUUUUAGUGACAUUAAGGUUAGUGUGGACAACAAAAAAGCUCCAGAAUCCAGAGACCGCAAAGAGAAGGACAGCGCCACACCAGAGACCCUAAAAAAAAAAGCUUCUCUUGCCAACCAUUUAACCCCUGCAAUCCCUGAGACUAAAAACCGUGAAUUGGAGGUCCAUCAGCCUUCACUGAUUUUUCUCCCUAAACCUACACCUGUGGAACCUAAAUCUUUCUCUGCUAACCACUCCACGGGACAGAAAGCCCAGCACUGCAAUGGAGACAUCCCUGGCCGAAAUCCACACUUAUCAUCGCAGCUUCUAGAGAUGGAGCCAGACACCAUGGAGUUUAAACCAGUCACAGGGCCUGGACCACCAUUGUCUUCCUCAUUAAUAACAGCUGUACGCCAAGCUACCUUUCCCCAACAAACCUUAGUAGACCCAGAGACUGUUCAAAAUGGUCUGAGACCACAAAAUGGAAUAACUGACCAGGUUUCAGACAGUCUAAAUAAAGAGACUACUCCAAAUCAUGUGGAUCUUGAGAGACUUGAUAGUCAAGAUAUUAAGCCAAAUCAAAAAGAGCCAACAAAUGCCAAAGGACCAACUGAAUUUGGGAAAAUAACAGCAGACAGCAAGAGUCCUCUACAACAACAGUCAUCAGACUCUCUUGAAACCAGACAAUCAGAAAAUAAAGUGCCCCAGAUGAACACAAAGCCUCCAAUACCUCCCAAGCCAUCAUUCAUUGGUUUACAGCCAUCCUCAAAGGCAGUUAAUGCCCAGUCACAAAAGCCUGAGGAAAAGACAAAAGUUCCCCCCAAUGGUCUUUCUCUACACCCCUGGUCUCAGAGAAAUGGUACCAGUACCUCCCCACUCUCUACACUGAGUAAGGGUGUUUCUCUAAGUCAUGAGAACUUAAGAACUGAACUAAAGGCUGAAAGCUCUACAGUCAAACCUACAAGUGCUUCAACCACUCCUACCCCAUCUCCAUCUCCCUUACCUUCUCCUUCAGUUCAAUCUGUAAAUAUUGUUCCUGAAGAUUUAGCUCAAACAGGGACUAGCUUCUCCAGCAGAACAGGCUCGUCCGGACGUCUGUCUGCCACAGCCUUGCGGGGAAAAAUUCAGGAUAUGCCCUGGUACCUCACCCGUUCCCAAGAGAUCUUGGGGACAGUAGCACUCAGCAACACUAUUUCAUCAACAGGCAAUAUAGCAACCAUUGCAACAGAUGUGAAUCAUGAUUCCAAGAAGGUAUCGCCCAAGGCCACUUCAGUGCCAUCUUUGAUUAACUGGAAAGAGAAAGAUGCUGAAGUAGUCAUUGUAAAGCUAAAAGAUGGACCUGAGGAAGUGACCCCAACUCCUGUUAAAGACACUAACGGGAAACCUCCAACAUCGUCAAGCCAUCCUGACCUGAGGCAGAAAUUUUCCACAGAAGCUACCGAGUUGCACAGGCAUUUUGGGACCUGCAAGUCCGAACAGCCUCAGUCACACAAAGGUAACCCUUCAGAGAUUCAACUUGACAAUGCGUCCUCUCUAUCCUCCACAAGUCCUUUCCAUCGUGAUGCAUGUGGCUGCCAUACAGUCUAUGCCAACUGUUUCAGCGGCGAUACAGAGGACAACUGCAGCUUUGAUGAUGAUCUGACUGUUUACGAGUUCUCCCGUCGAAACCGGAUAAGUAAACCACCACAACCCACCCCGGUUCCAUCCCCUGCAACCCUCUCUGGUCCCUCACCAAAUGUUCUCUCCCUACUCAGAGAUUCCCCUCGUCCCCUACCUUCAUCCUCAGAACUCAGUCCACUCCUAGUCCCUCCCAGACCUCUGGAAUCUCUGCCUCUAGACUGUGGACCAAUGAAUAAUCCGCUCCAUUUUUUGCAAGGCCACCGUUAUGUUACUGGUCAGAAAGGUGCAGGGCUUAAAGAGAGCUAUGCCUGUUUGCAGCGAGAUAUUGAUGAACUACUUAUGGUUUUGAAGAAAGGACCUUCUGCAGUAUACCCUCCAACCCACAAGGGGGAAUGCGAAAACGGCAAUGUGAAUGGGAAUUCGCUUUCAGAGACAGAGAGAUGCCUGGUUCAGGCGGAGGCACGGAGAUUGGCGUCAGGAUGUCAGAGAGCCACACGGGUUGGAUGGGCACCUGAUGAUGCUCUUCUGUCCCUCGGAAACAGCUUUGGAGCUCUAGUGCAACUUACCUCAACCUGCAUGCGAGUUCCUUGUUCGGACUGCGGAGGCUGUCAUGGGGAUAUUGAUGCAGAUGAGGCCCUGAGGAAGCUUGAGGAGAUCGUGGACCUAUAUAAGGAGUUUGUAGGUGCUGUAGAGACAGCGAGAGAGGGCGAAGGUGUCAGGCUCUUAGCCAAGCAGUGUACUGUUCUCAUUUCAACUGUCUUCUCGCUAACACAACUGUUUCGGACACGGACACCAGACAUAGACAAUGGAAAUGUACCUCUGAACUUUUGAAUUUUACCUUCCGGUACCCUCUUAAGGGAUUGUAGAGUGUGAGCAUAGAAUUGUACUUAAAGUAGCGAUGCCUUUCUGGCAUCUAAAAACUGAUUGUGUGCUGGCACACAAGAAUAAUAGUAAGUGCCGUGAACGUACACACACAGUUAGCAAACUAACAUGUCAGAACUGUUAUGUGUUAACCUGUUUGUCUUGCCAAGUCUCCCUAUAAACGUACUGGAAUUAUGCAUUCAGACAUAGCUAUUUUCUAACGGUUCUUUAAUUCCCGAUGUAUGUACAGUCUGUAGUAUGUAUUUAUUUUUUUGCAUACAGUAUAUGCGCACUGUGGUUUCUAACCUACUAUACCUGCAUUUUUUUUUUUUUUGGGUAUAUGUGAAUCCCUACCUCUUGCUCUAAUAACUGAGAUAAACAGUGUUAUGAAACUUCACUUGUUUUCAUGUUUAGUUUAGUCAUGCUGCUCUAACAGAUUGAAGGAACAAAGUGAACGGACACUCCACUAACCCCUAACAAUAGAUGCUGGGACACACACUAAGAAGCCCAAAUACUUAUGCAGUAACGUUUCACCAGACUAUCCAAAGGAUUUUCAUUGCAUUUUGUCUAUGAUACCUUUCCGGCUGUAGAAUGAGAGCUGAUGGCAAUAGAAGUGCGGCAGUUUGGCUUUUUUUAAACUGUAUGUUGGCGUGUCAAGUUUGGCUUUUGAUGUUAGUUUUUAUAUUGGCCUAUCAACUGACUGUUAACCACAGAGAUCGGUGUGGUCCAAAGACAUAAUAGCACAAUUGGGGCGUGUUUACACAACAACGAUGUUACUGGAGCACCCUGUAAAACUGAUCCCAAUGAUAGCCAAACCACACAAUUUCUCAUUCGUCUGUCAUUUUUGACUAUGCAAGCAUCACGAUUUAUACCCACAUUUUUCCACGUAUUAUACUUUCUUACAAUUUAUACAUAUUAAUACAAACAUAAUUUUCAAUUUGUUAUGAAUCACUAAUUUUUCGCUUUAGAGGACGUCCCUGAAAAUCCUAGGCCUUAUAUUUUAUCUUGGAAGAUUGUUGUGAAGUUUGUUGGGUUGCAUUAUUUUGCGAAUGCAGCGUAUAUUUAUUUUGUUUUCUGUUUAUUCAAGGUUCAGUUGGAAAUAUUUUUUUCUUUCACUUUUGUAAGUGGUGAACUGCACCAUAUUUAGUAUACACUAAUACUGUUUAAAUAAUCUUUGAGUAAGGCCAGAAACAUACUCCAUGCAAGUAUGUGAACGCAAAUGCUUCUAGCGAAACCAGAUCAAAUUCAUUGCGUAAUACAUAACGCAGUGCCUGUUGCCUCCUUGAGAGUUUGUUUGGAACUGCACAAUUGAAAUGCAUCAUUCAAGCCUUCAAAUCUGCAUUUCUGUACUUGCAUAGAGUGUUUCAGACCUAAGAAUGCCAAUUUUGGAUUUGGCUGUCAUAUUCACACAAAUAUGACUGAGGAAAUUAUCAAAGACUACACUUGGAAUUUCGAGUAAUUGAGUCCUGGGGAUUCAUUUGCCCUUUGUUGCUGAUCUCAGACCAGUAUUUUGCGGUAUUACAGCCAAGGAUGAAAAUUCUCACUGGCUGUUUCUAGGACAGGUUUCAAAAGGCAACUUGCACCCAGAAUACAUAAAUAAUUAAAUUGCCCAGAUCACAUGACCAACUUGCGGUCAAUCAGCCUUGUUCAGUUCUAAGUAACUUGACUUUAGAGAAGUGCUUCCAGAUGGCAAGAAUAUCAUCCAUAUUGGACACAUCCCUCCCAAUAAACACACUGCCAGAUUGUGGUUAUCAAGUCAGAAAGAUAGUUUGCAUCAAGAGAAAAGUCAUGAGAAAGAAAGAGACAAAUAUCUGUUACUAUUCAGUCUUUUCACAGGGACAAAUUUCAUAUCGGACUAUCAGAGCAAACAUAUUUCUGUAUUAAAAUCCUCCUGUCAAAUGAAGGUUCUAAGAAUGACAAAGACUUAAAGGAACUGCCAUUGCAUUUGUAGCAACUAUGAAGCAAAAAAAAACUGCUUGUAAAGACCAUAUGUAUUGAGACAUGUUGUAUGCAGAUGAUUGUGUUUCAAAGUGCACAAAAUAAAAUCUUAAAUGUGGCUUUACGUGAAUAUGAAGGCAAACCUCUGAAUGAAAUGAGAAGGGACAAUCAAGAGUAUGUUUUGCAUUCCCUCUACUGUGUUCAUGAUAAUAAAGGUUUGAUUUUGAAUGACAAAUGCUGUGGAACUAAUGCAGCUUUUGUGUUGAGUGGCUUUUUCAUUUUCCUUUAGGCAAAAUAUAAUUUCUUACAUCUUUCUUUUGAUUUUGGGUUGAAAUAUGACCUGGACAUGUUCUUGACCGAUUUUGUGAGAUUUGAUUUAGAUAUUUUUGGGCUUUAUUCUCAAAAGCUGUGACAUCUGUUAUUUUACAAUGUUUUGUCUUUUCUAACAGUCUAAUUUCUAGUUUACCACACCUACUAAAGCACUAAAUUGUCAGGCUGUAUUUGUUUUUGAGUUGGCAGGAGGAUAUUACAGAUUAGGCCUGGGAUUAAACUCAAGCUGAAAUCUUUCACAGUUCAAACAGAGGGAAUGAUGGGAUUGUGCUGGAGCUGUUUGCUGGCAGACACGCUCGCUGUAAUCUGUGGCUUUUCAACAGAGGGAGUGACUAAAUUUUAAUCUGUAGUAACUCUUAAAGAUAUUCUUGUAGCCUUUUCUCUUUUCAAUUGUAAAUGUCAUAGGAAACUCUGUGCUUUAGGUAAUUUAACACUCAAUUAAAAGCAUAGUUCACCAAAAAAUACAAAUUCCAUUAUUAUUUACUCACCCUUGUUUGUUGAUAAUCAAACCGUUUCGGUUCCCAUUGAGUUCCACUGUAUUUUUUGUUCAUAUAAAG